UGGGAAAAUUAACUAUUGUGUGGGAGAAAGAUUGCUCCUGUUCUUAGGUUACUUUAUGGAAGGAUCUGUCAGGUCACUGGUUACAGCUGUUUUGAAAUAAGGUAGACCUUUUUAGAUCUUUCUUUUUUCUUCCUGUAAAUAGUCUUGCCUUUUUUUUUUUUUUGUCUUUUCUAUAAACUUUAAUUAUUUGGGCAGAGAAAUAGUGACAUUUGGACGUGGCUUUUGAAUUGCAAGGCUGGUGUCUUAGCCCUGCCCAGGCCUCUGGAUGUCAGGAGAGCUUCUCGGACCUGCAUCCCAGGCCGCCCUGAGCGAGGCGCAGGCAUGACUGCCUUCAGCACCUUCAGUUGAUCAGCAUUAGGCGUUUUGAAAUUAAAAAUCUUUCUCACGAAAUUUAGUACAGAAAGAGUCAGCUGUAUUUGCGAGAUGGUUGUGGUUUCAUGUGAAAAAGAACUGUCAUUAGGAUCUUGUUUUAAAUUGGGAAGCCCUGUAGAGUUAGAAUUUUGUGUAUGACAAAACGCGUCUUACAGAGGCUGGGUGGGGAAUGCAGAAAGGGAGUUCUCUUUCUGUAACAUUUCUGAAGUUUGUCUCUUACUGGAAACUUCUUUAUCCUUAUUCCACUACCAGCUUCCAUGCCAACGUUAGGAGCUUACAGUUUGGAUUCCAGGAUUUCACACUCCUUGGCUGUGAAACUUUGUUCUUUUCUUCCGGUUGUUUGUUGUGAGGGUCUUGAGACCACUGAGCAGGGAGGAGGCGGGGAGCUGGAGCACAGUACCUCUUUCAGGAAGGGUGUCUGAAGUGUGUGUGGGAGGCUGCUAUUAAUAUUUUGGGCGAUACAUUCUUGACUGUGUAGGACAUCCUGUACCUACUAAAUGCAGUGUCCUGCAGUUCAAUGUGUCCUCCCCAAAUGUCCCCCCAAAUACCUGUCUUCUGGGGUGGCAGUGUUAAUGUGCCUGUGGAGAACCACUGCCUUAGCAACCCAUUGAUUCUUUCCUUCAAGUGAAUAAUUUGUUGCACCUCUGUACGCAGCUGUGGUCUGUCUCACCUCCCGGAACAGGCCAGAGCAGUCUUCGGGACAUCCGUUCGCUCUGUCGUUUGUUGCUGCUAGGAGAGAAACUCUUGUCCACCUCGGAGCCUUUGAGGAAGGUGUGAGCAGAUCCUGCUCUUGUGUUCCAUGAUCGGAGGGUAGAGAUUUCUGCACAUCUGACCAGAUGCCUGGAUGUUGAUAGGAUGCUGUUGCUUACGUGUGCAAGAUGCUUCUGGAACUCUGCGUGGGUACAGAAGCAGUUGUCAGUGAAAUAAAUAGGGAAGUUCAGUGAACCUGAGGCCUCCCCACAGAGAGUGGGCUUACCUGUCCCUGUCUCAGAUCUACCUCUGAGUGCCUGUGACCUCUCUCCAGCCUUAUCUUUGUUACUUUAAAAAUAGGUGUGGUUCUCUUCAGCAGUGGCAGCCUAUACUGGUGUUCCCUAAUCCUGUGAGAAGAACACACUGCAGUCACAUUUGUCUUCUUUUUAUUUUAUUUGAUAGAUUUUUAUUUAUUUAUUUGAAAUGCAGAGAUACAGAGGGAGAAGGAAAGAGAGAGAGAGACAGAGAGAGAUCUCCAUCCACUGGUUGACUCCCAAAUGGCCACAACGGCUGGAGCUAGGUCAGGCCGAAGCCAGGAGUUUCUUCUUGGUCUCCCAUGUGAGUGCAGGGGACCAAACACUUGGUCCAUUUUCUGAGGCUUUUCCAGGCCCAUUAGCAGGGAGCUGGAUAGAAAAUGGAACAGCCUGGACUUGAACCAUCACCCAUAUGGGAUGCUGGCACUGUAGGUGGCGGCGGCUUUACCUGCUAUGCCACAGUGCUGGCUCCGACUGUGAUAACUUGUACCACACUUGGCACAAGUGUUGGUUGAGUAUGUGAAUUUCAGUGUUUUGUAUCUAUUGUUUCAUUUAAUUACCACUGUAAUUCUGUGAGGUAAGAUGUGGGUGAGGAAGCAGAGUUAGUGGGAUGGCAAGGAACUUACAGGUCAGACAGCCAGCAGGUAGCUGAUCUGGGACUGGAAUGCGGGCCUGCUGGUUCCAGAACCUGGGCUCCUCACCAGUGCAUUCUACUGAAAUAUGAGGACUUGGGGUAAUGUCUUGGGAAUGGCGCUGGCCUUCAAGUCUGAGAACCCAGCUCAUCUGGUUGGCUGCUGAUUAACUGCCUGGCCUGUGACGUUGGGCAAGUGAGUCAUUUAGCCUCAGAGUCACAGUUUCUUCAUCCAUAAGAUGGAGAUGACGCCUGUCCUGCUUACCUUGCAGAGUCGUCGUCAUGAGGACUUUGUGAGAAUUUAACAUACGCAAAAGCCAAAGGGCUGGACAUGUAAAGUAGCUGGUGUUCCAGUGGGGAUGCUUCUAGUUCUCUGCCUUGCUUUUCUUUUUCUUUUUUUUUUUCUCUCUUUUUUAAAGAUUUAUUUUAUUUAUAUGGAAAGAAGAGUUAGAGAGAGAGAGACAGAGACAGAGAGAUUCUAUCUGCUAUCUCCCCAAUGACUGCAACAGCUGGGGCUAGGCCAGGCUGAAGCUAGGAGCCUGGAACUCCAUCUGGGUCUCCCAUGUGCGUUUCAGGGGUCCGUGCACUUGGGCCAUCUUCCACUACCUUCCUACGUGCAUUAGCAGGAAGUUGGAUAGUAAGCGGAGCCAGCACUCAUACGGGAUGCUGGCACCACAGGCAGCUGGCUUAACCUGCUGUGCCAUGAUGCCAGCCCCAUCGUUUUCUGCUUUCUUGAAUCUCUGCAAAACGACCAUGUGAACAGUGGCCCCCCCAAAUGGAAGCUAUCUCUGUCUCCUGCACCCUGACUUCCACUGAGGGACUGUACAUGGUGGAACCUGCACUGGGGAGCGCUGCUUUGGGCAGGCAGAAUCUCUUCUUCUCCGCCUUGUAAGGGAAGUUCUGUGAGGUAACCACAGUUCUGGAAGCCUGGCAGUCCUGUGUCGUCAUCCUGUUUAUCUGAGUGUGGAUUUCUGGAUGUGGGAAAACAGGAUCCACUGUGUUGGAGGAGGUUGCUGUUUUCCAGGUCUCAGUUUGUCAUCUAUAUGUGUACAUAUACGCAUUCUGUACUUCGCCAUCACCAGGACAUCAGCUGGUGCUACGAUGACUUUUAGAAGUCUGAUUUUACUGCCACUCUAGGGUUCUCAAGUGAUUUAAUUUUCUCUUUUGUUACAUAGUAGGGAAGCAUUGCCAAUUCCAUUGGAAUGGAACUGAAAGCCUUUUUGUGCUUCACCGUAUGUCCCCUAGAACUUACGGGCUUUUGCUUGGUUUCUGGAGAAGGAAAAGCAUUCUGCGGUCUCCAAAGAGCAUGGCACAGCCCCUGCCCUCUCCUGCAAAAGUCCUAUUCUUAAUGAAGACAUUUAAAAACAAAAACAAAAAAGCAGAAUUUUUAGUUCUCCAUUAGUGUGAGGACUUAUUUUAGGUAAAAUUAAAAAAAAAAAAAGUUACCUUGAGGCAAAGACGAUUUCCUGAAGGUCAUAGUUAACUCUUCACUGUGGUUUGAAAGGCACUGUAAACAGUGGUGUAGCUCUUAGGUUGUUUAUUUUAUGGGAUGUGUACCUUCUGAUGUUAAACAAAGUCCUGCCCCAAAUAUGUCACAAGGAAUACUUGAAGCCAGGCCAGUCUUAUCCAAAGAUAUACAGCGCUAGUUGCUUUUCGGAAAAAGAACCUGGUUCGCAUUUUACAGUGUGACACUCAACCUAAGCUUUCCAGACAUUGAAAUUUUGAUAUAUCCAAUUUAAAAGAUUUACUUACUUUACUUGAAAGGCGAGUUACAGAAAGAGAGUAAGAGAGUCUUCCAUCUGCUGGUUCACACCCCCAAAUGUCCAAAACCACUGGAGCAGGGUCAGGCCAAAGCCAGGCGCCAGAAUCUUCUUCUGGGUCUUCCACAUGGGUGCAUGGGCCCAAGCAGUUGCACCAUUUUCUGCUAAUUUCCCAGGAUCAUUACUAGGGAGGUGGAUUGUAAGUGGAGCAGCUGGGACUCAAACGGCCAUAUGGGAUGCUAGCGCUACAGGUGGCAGCUUAACCUGCUGUGCCACAGUGCUGGCCCUGGUACUAGAAUCUUGAAGUUAGCUGGAAACCUAAAUCCUAGACUCAGUCUUUUAGAAUGAUUGUUGAGUAUAAAUUUGAAUGCAUUUCUUUUCCAAGCUUUGCUGUGGACUAGGCUAAAUCAAAUAGUUCAUUGUAAUUUCUGUAUUAGUCUUGACUAUGAGCAGGAACCCAGCAGUGUUCACUUCUGAAUCUUAUGUUCUCGUAAGGACACAGGUUUAUCAUGUUCUCGUAAAGACACAGGUUUAUUGUUGAAUCCAGCAGUUGGAUUCCUGUCUUUGAUGUGCUUUAUGGAUGAGGGAUGAGUCGUGGGUGUGAAUGAAUAACCUGAGGAUCAGUCCUCGAGUGUGAAGCAAAUAAAGAACCGAGUUCAAACUGAAAGCAGCAGCUGGGCUAGUUUCUGGCCUGAUGAGACUGUUUACACUGAGAUCUCCCUGGAGUUGUUAGUUUUAAGAGCACAGCUUUCAUCUGUUGGGAGAAAGGAGGAAGGGAGAAUUUGCUGAAUCUCUAUAAAUCCCAAAUUAGGGGAGGCACGGUAAAAAUUUAUAGUGCACUCUUGGAUCUUGAACAGGAAGGAAACAGAUACAGACAAGAGCUCUCUUGAUUUCUGUGAAUGGUUCCAAAGGGUUCUUAGAUUUGAUGGUCCCCAGUAUUCCCUAAGGGAGCUUGUUAACACUACAGAUGACUCGACCCCACACCUAGAUUUUAGUAGGGUUGGGAGACCCAAGAAUCUGAAUUUGUAACGGAAGAUUCAGAAAGUGUUGUCAGAAGAUCACUUAUAUCUGAAACUCUACCACAGAUUUACUUCUUCUCUUCCAAAACAGAAAGAACUCGGAAUGCUCUGUGGGUGCAUUCAUUAGCAUUAUUUCAAUAUUAUUAAGCUAGUCGGGUAUUGCCUCAGUAAGAUCCACAUAAAUCUUUUUCUCUACAGCUCUCAGGGGGCAGGUUCAGCAAGCAAGAGCAUUUUUUCAUUAUUUGAUGGUUUUUCUCUUAAAAAAAAAAAAACAGAUUUAUUUACUUCAAAGACAUAGUGACAGAGAUAGAAGGAGAAACUUAGAGGGAGAGACAGAGAUCUUCCAUCUGCUGGUUCAUGCAGUUGCCAGUAACAGCUGGAGCUAAGCUGGGCUGCAGCCAGGAGCUGGGAACUCCAUGUAGGUCUCUUCAUAUGGGUGGUGGGAACUCAAAUACUUGGGCCAUGAUCAACUGCCUCCCUGCUGAGCUAACAGGAAGCUGAGUCAGCAGUGCAGAGUAGCUGGCCCUCUGAUAGGAGAUUCGAGUGUCUCAAGCAGUAGCUUAACCUGCUGUGCCAUGAUGCCCACCCCUGAUAGUUUUCUGUUAUAUGGAACUAAGCAUUUAUCUCCUAGAGGCAGGCCUAAGCCAGUCUGCCUUGGUCCUGAGAGUUGAGUUGCUCUUAAUAGAAGUAAUGGUGGCAGUAGCACCUUUCCUUCUGUGCUUGUCUUCUCACUCCUUUUUCUUUGAAGACCCGAACUGCCUUUGGGUGCUGGUGCUACAAAAGGGCUUACUGAAUUACAACCUCUUUUCUUUUUUUAAAGGUUUAUUUUAUUUAUUUGAAAGGCAGAGUUACAGAGAGAGUUGGAGGGAGAGAGAGACAGAGAGAGAGAGAGAUCAUCCAUCUGCUGGUUCACUCCCCAAAUGGCUGCAAUGGCAAGCUCUGAGCCAGGCUGAAGCCAGGAGCCAGGAGCUUCAUCUGGGUCUCCCACGUGGGUGCAGGGGCCCAAGCACUUGGGUCAUCAUCCACUGCCUUCCCAGGCACAUUGGCAGAGAGCUGAAUUGGAAAUGAAGUAGCCAAGACUCAUAUGAGCACUGUAGAGUGUCUACAGUGUACCAGGACCUAGGGUAAGUGCUAGAAGUGAUAUUAGUUAUUAUGAAAGUGAACUACUUUGUUCUUUCCAAGAAUCUUUGCUUACUCCCUCACUCCUUAAGAGCCCAGGUAUUGCCACUUGUUGAUGCUUUUAUCUUCUUCAUCAGUCCUUCUGUUGAAUAAACAUAUAAAUUCAAGUGUUUUUCCAUGGGACAGCUGCUGGGAUGUACUUCUUUACUCUUAAGCUCACUGUUCAUUUUUUCGUAAAUCUUUCUGAGUGGGGGCAGGAGGUGUUUUUCUUUAUGGUUCCAGUCAAGUGUCUUACUAAGAAAUUCCUCCUCCAUCCCAGUGUAAGGGGUUCCCUUAUCUUCUCAAUGAGAAUAUCAAAAGAAAAACUGUAUUUUAAACUCUUCUGAUAUAUCUUUGAAUUUAGUAUCUCUGUCAUCCCUAGAGCCACUUUUGUUUCUGGUCAUUGAACACUGUUUUCUAGAAGCAUGAUUCACCAUGUUUUAAAUCUUCUUUGUAAAAUUUAUCCCAAACCACAAACACCCAAAAGGAAAUUUACUCCUUUGUGAGUGCUUAUGCCCUCUCUCUCCCACCAAGUUUUUUUUUAAGGGACAGAGAAAGACAGACAGACACACACACACACACAGCUCCCAUCUGCUGGUUGGCUCCCCAAAUGCCCGUUAAUAGCUGGGGCUGGGCAGGGCCAAAGCCAGGAAUGCUAUGUUUCCCACACAGGUGGCAGGAACCCAGUUACUGGGUCUAUCACCACUGCUUCUCAGGGUCUGCAUUAGCAGGAAGCUGGAGUCAGGAGCCAGCGCCAGGAGUUGAAUCUAAGUAUUGUGAUAUGGAAUGUGAGCAUCUUAACUGCUAACCUAAAUGCUUGCUUCUCAUCAACUUUGUUUUUUGUGGUCACAUAUAGGUAACAUAGAAUUUACCUUUUUUUCUUUUAAAAAAAUUAGCUUGAGAGAGAUGGAAAGAGAGAUUUUCCAUAUGUUGGUUAUUGCUGCAAAUGCCUGCAACAACUGAGGUUCACCUGCUGCCUCCCAGGGUGCCUGUUAACCAGGAAGUUGGAAUGGGGAGUGGAGCUGGGACUUGAACACAAGCAUUCCAAUUUGGGAUGAGGAUGUCCCAGGCAGCCUCUUAACUGCUUCACCAAAUUCCUGCCACUAAAUUUACCAUCUUAACCUUAUGAAUAUUAUCACUCAGUGGUAUUCUAAGUAAUGCAUAUAAAUGGAAUCCUAUAGUGUUUGUCUUUUGUGAUUGGCUAAUUUGACUAAAAUAAUGUCACUAAAGUUAAUCCAUAUUGUAGUCUGUGUAAUCAUGUACUUCCUUUUUAGGGAUGACUAGUGUUCCAUUGUAGUGAUAUAUAUCAUAUCUUGCUUAUCCAUUCAUCUUUCACUGGAUAGUGAGGGUGCUUCCAUUUUUAGCUACUGUUGAUAAUACUGCUAUGAACAUAAAUGGGCAAAUAUGUCUUUGAGCCCUUGCUUUCAGUACUUUUGAGUAUAUACCCAGGAAUUGUUGGAUCAUAUGAUAAUUCUGUUUUUAGAUUUUUGAAGAACCACCAUCCUAUUUCCAAUAGUGGCUGUAUUAUUAUUAUUAUUUUAAAGAUUUAUUUUAUUUAUUUGAAAGUCAGAAUUACACAGAGAGAGAAGGAGAGGUAGAAAGAGAGAGAGAGAGGUCUUCUAUCCGCUGGUUCACUCCCCAAUUGACCGCAACCACCAGAGCUGCGCAGAUCAGAAGCCAAGAGCCAGGAGCUUCCUCCGGGUCUCCCAUGUGGUUGCAGGGGCCCAAGGAAUUGGGCUGUCUUCUACUGCUUUCCCAGUUCAUAGCAGAGAGCUGGAUCGGAAGUAGAGUAGCUGGGACUCAAACCAGCGCCCAUAUGGGAUGCCGGCACUGCAGGCAGCAGCUUUAACCACUAUGCCACACACCACAGCCCCAUGGCUGUAUUAUUUUACAUUCCCACUGGGAGUGCAUAGCCCUCUAAUUUCUCCUCUUUCUCAAAAUAUUUGUUUUAUAUAUAUGUGUGUGUGUGUAUAUAUAUAUUAGACAUCCUACUGGAUGUGAGAUUUGAUUUACAUUUCUCUAGUAAUUAUUGAUGUUGACUGUCUACAUUUGAUUGUAGGAUAUUUAUAUGUCAUCUUUGGAGGAUUGCCCUUUGUCCAUUUAUGAAUAAGGUUGUUUUUUCUUUUGUUUUAGUCCUGCUUUAAGUAAUUUUCUUUAUUUUGAGAAUUGGAGAGAGACAGAGAGCUGCUGUCUGCUGGUUCACUCCCCAAAUGCCUGCAGUGGCUCACUGGUGCCAAAACAGUGAGCCAAGAACUCAAUCCAGGUCUCCCAUGCGAUUGACAGAAACCAACACUUGAAUCAACAACCCUCACUGCUGCCUCCUGGGUUAUGCAUUUGUAGGAGUGCUGGAAUCAGGAGCCAGGACUUGGUAUUGAACCCAGGUACUAUGAUAUGGGAUGUGAGUAUCCUAACCACUUAGGCUAAACACCUGCCCCAAUUUUAAGUAAAUUUUAAAGCUUUGUUUAUGAUAGUCAAUACUUGUGACUGUAAUAUUAUAAAUAAAUGUCUUAUCUUUGAGUAUUUAUUGUUCAAAAUAUAAAAUUUAGAAGACCAUUUUAUGCUGAGAGAUUUUUAUGGGACUUUGGUUAUAAGGUGAUGACUUAACUUCUGAAAAAUAGUUUUUGUAGAAACUUUACCUUAUAUUUAUGCCUGUGUUCAGUCAUGUUGGUCUUAGUGAAUUAAACUUGUCAUAGUAUGGCUCUAACUCUCUAGAUGAUAGUCUCUAGCCCUAUAAAAAGAAUAAUUAAGUUGGGGCCAAUUUUGUGGAGCAGUGGAUUAAGCUGCCCAAGUGCUUGGCCCCUGCACCCACGUGGGAGACGCGGAUGAAGCUCCUGGCUCCUGGCUUCUGCUUGGCCCAGCCAUGGCUGUUGUGGCCAUUUAGGGAGUGAAACCAACAGAUGGAAGAUUGAUCUCUCUCUCUUUGUAACUCUACCUGUUUUUUUGUUUUUUUUUUUUUAAUUUAUUUGACAGGUAGAGUUAUAGACAGUGAGAGAGAGAGACAGAGAGAAAGGUCUUCCUUCCAUUGGUUCACUCCCCAAAUCUCCGCUACGGCCAGUGCUGCGCUGAUCUGAAGCCAGGAGCCAGGUGCUUCUCUCUGGUCUCCCAUGUGGGUGCAGGUCCCAGACACUUGGGCCAUCCUCCACUGCCCUCCCGGGCCACAGCAGAGAGCUGGACUGGAAGAGGAGCAACUGGAACUAGAACCCGGCACCCAUAUGGGAUGCCGGCGCCACAGGUGGAGGAUUAACCAAGUGAGCCACGGUGCCGGCCCGUAACUCUACCUUUCAAAUAAAUAGAAUAAUUCUUUAAAAAAUAAAAAAAAGAAUUAAGUCAUGUUUCACAAACAGCAGUUCUGAAGGUAGUCACCACUAUUACUGCACAGUAUCUUUUUUUUUUAAAUUUUAAGAUUUAUUUACUUGAAAGGCAGAGUUACAGAGAUGCAGAGGCAGAGAGAGAGAGGUCUUUGAUCCACUGGUUCACCCCUCAGAUGGCCGCAACGGCUGGAGCUGCGACAAUCCAGAGCCAGGAGCCAGGAGCUUCUUCCAGGUCUCCCAUGUGAGUGCAAGGGCCCAAGGGCUUGGGCCAUCUUCUGCUGCUUUCCCAGGCCAUAGCAGAGAGCUGAAUCAGAAGUGGAGUAGCCAUGACUUGAAUUGGCACCCAUAUGGGAUGCUGGCACUGCAGGCGGCGGCUUUACCCACUAUGCCACAGCGCUGGCCCCUGCACAGUAUCUUUUAAGGUCAAAGCUGAUUUGUUAGUACAUGGGAGAAACUGAAGCCUGGAGCUACCUGGAUGUUUUCAGACAGAGGGAGUGGAAAACUCAGAAUCCCAGGCCUGGCUGAUGUGGUCAUCUCACCAACAUUUCUCAGCUCUUUGGAGAUCUUUUCAUUUGUUUCCAUCUCAAAUAACAUUUUUCCCUGCUGAGAAGGUACUUUUCUUUAGAGGGAGCUAUUUAGGAGUCUUUUUGUCUUGAUGCCUGUCUCGGUAUUUGGGAAUCCUAUAAGGAUUAGAGAAUCUUUGGAAUUCUUGGAUCCUCUGUGAUUCCAACCUAAUUAGUUAGCUUUCUUGUACACCCCCCAAGGCAAAACACCAUUUAAAUCAGCUUUUUAAAGAAACUUAUUAUAACAUGGUCUCCGAAUAAAAUGAGCAUCCCCAGAUGCCCAUGUACCCCGUGUGUUGUGAGGUUUCCUGGACUCUGAUCUGAUAGGGCUGCAACACUCAUAUCAUUGCCCUUGAGAGCUCCAGGCAGGUCCUGAGAGCUGUGACGAGGGCUGGCUUUCCAGGUAGCUGCUCUCCAUCUUAAUAUCUGACAAGCCCAGUCAUGUUGACUAUGUUUAAUCCAUCCAUGUUCUGCAUCUUCUUUCAACCCAGAGGCCAAGUGCAACACGAAAGCAGAGGGAAUCAGAAUUUAAGGCAUAGGAAUCUCCUAUGAAAUGGCAGAUCUUUGCGAGAUAGUAUUAUGAGCUGUUCUGUUUUGCUGUGGCUUUGGAAAACCUUUGGAUUCCUCUACUGAAAAUUUGUUUGAAAAAAAUCUUUUUAAUGAAACAGUGUGAGUCACAAAGCAGCCUCCCCUUCUCAUAAUAGCAUUUCUCACCAGGGGAAUUUUUGGUAGCUGUUGGGGGAGGGAUUUGAGUAGGUUGUGGAUGAUAAAUCGCUCAGUGGCACAUAACCAAAGGCUGCCAUGUCAGAACUCUGGUGUUUUCCGUGCUGAUUCCAAGCCCUGAAUCCAGAGUGCAGGACAGCAGAAUAGAACAGAGGAGCCUGGGCCUCACGAAUGACCAAUGAUACUGGAGUUUCAGCACACAGAAUGGGUUCAUUAAAACACUGUCAUUGUGUCAGAGGAUCCGAACAGAGGCCUUGGGUCAGAGGUCCAGAAGCCACUUACAGGCAGCCUUCUGGGUUAUAGGAUGACUUUGGACCUAGGUAUAAGAAUUUAAAGGUUAUGAGUAGUUUCUUUGCUGUCUAUACCUCCCUUUUCCGUAUUUUGAAUUUAAGAAAAUAAAUUUAUUUAUUUGAAAGGAAGAGGGAAAGAGAGAUCUUCCAUUUACUAGUUCACUCCCCAAAUACCUGCAACAACUCUGCAACCAGGAGCCUGAAACUCAUUCUGUAUCUUCCAUUUGGGUGGCAGGGACCCACGUACUUGACCCAUCAUCUGCUGUGUCCCAGGGAGGCGUUGGAAGCUGAGCAGAGUCUUGAACCCAGGGACUUUGAUAUAGAAUAUGGGCAUUCCCAAGUAGUAUCUUAACCACCAUGCCAAAUGCCUGUCUCCUGGUCCAUAUUUUGAAUUAGUGCUUGGUACUGACCUUGGUACCACUUUACAAAGAUGGGAUUCAUAAAAGGUCUCCUAUACUCUUAGGGUUCUAGAUCUAAAGCACUUAGAAUGGCAUCCAAAGAAAACACAUCACUCUGUCAGCCUCCUUGUAGGAUGGUGAAAAGGAAGCGUGGUCUUAGAGAUAUGAAGUACUUAGAAGGGGCAAGGAUGGUAUCGGCAUCCAAAUUAUCUGCCAUAAACCUUCUGCCACUCCGAGGAUAAGUUUUCAGCUUCAUUGAUCUCUGGUUUUUCUUUGGGACUCAUGUGUGAAGUAUCUUAUGUAAGCUACAGACACAGGAAAGUCUGAAAGGUUACUACAACUGUAUUAGGAUUUGCUUUCCUUUGGACAGUCCAGGCUGUCUCCAUUCUGUGUUUUCCUGGCUUUGUACUUUUCUUCAAAGCCUCUUAGCAAUUCCAAGUCUCCAGAGCUUAAUAAAGGGGAAACAGGAAGUCUGUGUUGGAUGCCUAAGAGCCAGCAGCAGCAGCUAGAGCAAAAGGCACAGGCACAAAACGGGGAGGGGGAAUUCUGGGCCUAUGGGAUUCUAGAUACACCCCUCAAUAAGGACUUUUACCAACUCCAUCAAACGGAGAGGCCACUGAAGUCUCUUUUGAAAGAAGGACUGAUGUUUCUUAGGUAAUAGAAUGGAGGUUUCCCACUUGUAUGAUGGCUUAAUUCUCAAGUGUCUUUUACGUAAAGAGUUCAAAGCCCUUGAAGAAAAGUAAUGAUCACUUUUAGAAAGCAGUGGAGUUAAGUAUCUCCCUUGUACUUGAGGGUCUGCAAGGUUUAUCUUACCAAGGGGUCCUGGCUGGAGCCUGACCUUUUCUUUUCCUGUCGGUUUACUUUAAGUAACUCUGCAAGUUUUAGUCCUGUAAUUGCUAAGUAGAGGAGUCACAGGGGUUUGUGAUGUUUCAAUUUUGGUUUCACUUGCACAUUUCAGGAAAUCACACAGCCUUGUGACUCUGAAUAGGAACUCUUUGGUGUCUUGGGCUUUUCCCAAAAAUAAACUAUUUUAGACAUUCAAAAGAGAUAAAAUUCUUGCCUACCAAGUAGAUUAAUAAAUAAAGCCUUACAGACAUCAUUGUACAUACCUUACCCUAUUCUUGAUUUUUCUCUUUGCCCAGAGGUGACCACUCUAGAGGCCUACUCUAGUGUCUGUCUUGCUGUAUAUAGCCAUCCUUUUGCUGCCUGUGUCUAUCAAAAUAAUACUCAUUUUGUCUUUAAUUUUUAAAAAUAUUUAUUUAUUUGAAAGGCAGAGUGAGAGAUUGAUCUUCUAUCUGCUAGUUCACUCUCCAAAUGGCCACAGUGUCUAGGACUGGGCCAAGCUGAAGCCAAGAGCCCAGAACUCCACUAUGUCUUCUCUUUGGCUGUAGGGGCCCAAGCACUUGGGCUGUCUUUCGCUGCUUUCCCAGGCACAUUAGCAGGGAGCUGGAUUGGAGGUGGAGCAGCCAGGCCUCCAGGUGGCACUCAGAUAAGGGAUGCUUGGCAUUGCAAGGUGAGGCGUUAACCCUCCGUGCCAUAUGCCAGCCCCACCUGUUUAAUUUUUAUAAGCUUUAUGUGAGCUAUAUCGUAAUGGCUCUAUCCUUCCAUGUGUAUCUAUGCAUACAUACUUCAAAAUGAGUUUGAAAUUUAUGAAUCUAUUUUAUUUAUAGCAUUUUCAUAUUUACUGCUGUAUGCUAUUACGAAUAUACUACAGAUAUCACAACUUAGCAGCUGAUUUUCUUAUCAGUGGAUAUUAAAAUUGUUUUCAGGUGCUUUGAGAAUAUUUUUCUAUGUUGAAUAAGAGUUUUUCUAAAGCACAUUCUUGGCUGUGAAAUAACUGCAUUGUAGGAGAUACUUACAUAUGGGAUCUUCAAAACGUUCAUGGAAAAUGCAUGGCUUUUUAAAGUUUUAUUUACUUAUUUGAAAGGCAGAGUGAUAGAGAGGGGGAGACACAGAGAGAGUGAGUGAGAUCUUCCAUCUGCCAGUUUACACCCCAAAUGCCUGCAACACCUGGGACUGGGCCAGGCUAAAACCAGGAACCUGGAACUCCACCUGUGUCUCUCAAACGGAUAGCUGGGACCUGAGUACAUGGACCAUCAUUUGCUGUCUUUCCAGGGGUGUUAGUAUGGAGCUGGGUUGACAGUGAAGUAGGCAGAAUUAGAACUGGCACUCUGAUAUGGAGUGCUGGCGUCCCAGUGGUGGCUUAGCACUAUAAUGCCUGCCCUGAAAAUGCAUAUGUUAUGAAAAAAUUAAACAUGGAUUUCAAAUAUUUUUGUACCAAGAUGAACUUUUAUUUCCAUUUUUCGUGAGCUUUUUAAGUGCAUACCGUCAACUCAUAAUUAAAUAUUGCCAAUGGAUUUCCAGUAUGCAUGUACCAGUUUAUAUCCCAAAUAGCAUAUUUUCUCUUGCACCAUGUCCUUGCCAAAAGUUGAUAUUGUUGACUUUUUUUUUUUUUUUUUGCAAGCUUUGGUGAUUAUCAGGGUAGGUUGGCCAGCGCUGCGGCGCAGUGGGUUAAAGCCCUGGCCUUAAGCGUCGGCGUCCCAUGUGGGCACCGGUUCUAGUCCCAGCUGCUCCUCUUCCAAUCCAGCUCUCUGCUAUGGCCUGGGAGAACAGUAGAGGAUGGCCCAAGUCCUUGGGCCCUGCACCCAUGUGGGAGACCUUGAAAACACUCCUGGCUCCUGACUCCUGGCUCCUGACUCCUGGCUUCAGAUUGGCACAGCUCCAGCCAUUGCAGCCAUCUGGGGAGUGAACCAGUGGAUGGAAGACCUCUCUCUCUGUCUCUGCCUCUCUUGGUAACUUUUUCAAAUAAAUAAAUCUUUCAAAAAAAAUAAAGGGUAUUUCAUUGUGACUUUAUUUAUUCAUGUGUUUGGGAAUAUGAAAAUAUUUCAUGGAAAAUGUAAUUAAAGGAUAAGUUUGGGGGCAGACAUUGUCCUAGUGAUCAUGAUGUCAAUUAAGAUGCCCUUGUCCCACACUGAAGUACCUGGGUUCAGUUCCUGGCUUCCACUCCUUGCUUCCUGCCAGUGCAGACCUGGAAGGCAGCAGGUGAUGGCUCAAAUAGUUAAGUCUCUGCCACCUCCUUGGGAUACUUGGAUUGAAUUCCUGACUGCUAGCUUUAGCCUGUCCCAAUACCAGCUGUUGGCAUUGAGGGAGUAAACUAGUGAAUGGAAACACACUCUUUUUCUGUCUCUCAAAAAAGUUUUUUGGUGCAAGAAACUAUUGGGAGAUCCAUGUUUUUGUGUAUAUAUGUACAUGUAACCAAUAUUAUGUAUUUAGUCAUCAUGUUUCCUUCAAUUUGAAAUGCUUGUUAAUGUCUCUUACUCUGUAAUAUUUAAUCAAGUGAUUCAUCCUCUUUUUUUUAAAAUUAAUUAAUUUAUUUGAAAGGCAGAGAGAGAGGUCUUCCAUCCACUGGUUCACUCCCCAGACGGCUGCCAUUACCGGAGCUGGGCCCAUUCAAAUCCAGGAGCUUCUGGGUUUCCCACAUGGGUACAGGGGCCCAAGCACUUGGGCCAUCCUCUGCUGCUUUCCCAGGCCAUAGCAGAGUUGGAGCAGCCCGCACCUGCAGGUGGCAGCUCCACCCACUACACCAAAGCGCUGUCCCUGGUUCAUCCUCUUUUUACUGGUUUAUAUGAAACUGUUUUUAUUUUGUUGCCAGGUAGCCAUUAUUAUCUGCAUAUACAAUGCAGAUAUAUGCAGUUUGUAUCUUACUUCUUUAUUCUUUUUUGUGAUUUCUUAUUGUUAAGGUAAAAUUUUUAAAGAUUUAUUUAUUUAUUUGAAAGGCAGAGUGACCAGUGGGGGAGGUGAAGGUGCAUCUUGCAUUUGCUGGUUCACUCCCUAAAUGCCUGCAACAGCUGGGGCUGAGCCAGGACAAAGCCAAGAGCCAGGAACUCCAUCCAGUCCCCCAUGUGGGUGAAAGGAACCCAAGUACUUUACUUGGGCUAUCAUCCACUUCAUUACCAGGCCCAGUAGCAUGAAGCUGGAUCUUAAGUGGAGAGAGCUGAGACUCAAAGUGGCAGUCCAGUACAGGAUUUGGGUGUCCUGUCCCUAGCAGCAGCUUAACCUAUUACUCCAUAGUGCUAACGUGCACUGCCCACCCACUUAACUUAAUUUUAAUGUGAUUGAAUCUUCCAGUGUUUGCUCUUAUGGUGUAAAUAUUUUGUGUGUUAGGAAAUAUUGCUUUUAGGGGUGGACGUUGUGGUAUAGGUUAAGAUGCCUCUUGGGCUGCCCACAUCUCAGAAUGCCUGGGAUCAAGUACCACCUCCAUUUCCCAUCCAGUUUCCUGCUAAUGUGCCUGGGAAAGCAACAGAAGAUGGCAUAAGUACCUGGGUUCUCACCACCUAUAUUAAGUACCUGGAUGAAGUUCUUGGCUCCUGGCUUUGACCUGGUCCAGCCCUGGCUUUUAAGGGUAUUUGGAAAGUGAACAAGCAGAUGAAAGAUCUCACUCUCUUUUCUCUGUCACUCUCCUGUCUCUGUCACUGUAUCUUCCAGAUAAAUAAAUAAUCUUUUAAAAAAAGAAAAAUAUUUUCCCAAGGUUAAAAAUAUUCUUUGGUUUUCUUGUAAAAGUUUUAAAAUUACACUUGUCAUAUUUAAUUUCUUAAUCCAUAGAGAAUUAAUUUUUUUGAGGGGAGUAAGGUACAAAUAUAUUUCCAUUUUUCCAUAUGAAUAACCAGCUCUCCCAGCAGCGUGUGAGGAAUGAUAAAGUCUUCCUACUGAUUUGCAAAGCUGUCUCUAGCCUAUGUGAUUUCCUUCUGGGCAUAUUUGUUUCUGUGCUUUCUGUUCUUUUCCAUUGGUCAAUUUGUCUAUCUGUGUGCUAAUAUUCUAUUAAUUACUAUAAUUUGGGAAUGGGUCUUGCUGUGUGGAAGGGCAGAUCUUUUCACCUUAUUUGUUCUUUUUAAAAACUGUGUGUUGGUGAAAUAAAACUUUUUAGGGGAGAAAUAGGAGAAUCCAAACAGGAUUAACAAAAUGAAGUGCAGAGGACCAGGAGCUGCCCUGCUGGUAGCUGCUGCUCUUUCUCAGUGACAGGACAUCUGGCAAACUCACCCUAAUGGGCAGUUUCAGUUUUUUUCUCCUACUAAAUUGGACAAACAAUAACAUUUCCGUAUGUCUUUGUGUUGCAAACAGCAGAAUUAACAGUUCUGUAUGUUACAGACAACAAUAAAAACAAAAACUGCUUAGCAGUUUUUGGCACUUUCUGUGUAUAGAUGAAUUUUAAGAUCAGAUUAAUUUCUUUGAGGGUUAAAAGCUAUUAGGAUAUUUAUUGGAAUUACAUUUAAUUUAUCAGUUGCCAUCUUUAUAAAAUUGAGUCUGUCCUAGAAGCUGAUGGGAAUGCAUUUACAAAUAAAAGAAUAGAAAUUUUUUUUUACAUUUUAUUUGCAUUUUUUUAAAAUGUUGACAUAAUUUCAGGCUUACAGAUAUGUUGUAGAACUUAUACAAACCGAUACUGUAUAUCCAUCAUGGCCCCUCUGCCCCGAAUCCUUAGAUAUUACCAGAAAGACAAAUAGUUGACAUCCAUUAAGUUUCAGACUCUGAGUUCUUAAAGGAAAAAAAAAUUUUUUUUUUGACAGGCAGAGUGGACAGUGAGAGAGAGGGACAGAGAGAAAGUCUUCCUUUGCCGUUGGUUCACCCUCCAAUGGCUGCUGCGGCCGGCGCACCCCGCUGAUCUGAUGGCAGGAGCCAGGUGCUUCUCCUGGUCUCCCAUACGGGGUGCAGGGCCCAAGGACUUGGGCCAUCCUCCACUGCACUCCCUGGCCACAGCAGAGAGCUGGACUGGAAGAGGGGCAUCCGGGACAGAAUCCGGCGCCCCGACCGGGACUAGAACCCUGUGUGCCAGUGCCGCAAGGCGGAGGAUUAGCCUAGUGAGCCGCGGCGCCUGCUAGGAAAUUUUUGAAAUCUGAGAAAUCUACAGUGACCUGCUGCCGGGAAUGGGAGAACCAUGUGAUCUUAGAGUGGCUGGGCCCAGACCUCAGGUUGCUUUGGUCAGGGUUGGUUGUAUUUGCACAUGAACUGCCCCCUGGUUCUGUCUUACCAACUGACCUUCUUAUCAACUUAGGCAGGAAAAUUCAGAUCAAGGAAGGUUGACUCAGCCUAGCCAGAGAUGCUUUUAAGGGAGGAAUGGGACACCCUCUUGCGGGAGGGGCAGUGUGGGGUACUGGUUAAGGUCCUGCAGGCUCGGCACCAGACUGCCUUCAGGGUGUGAAUCCCAGUGUUGCUGAUUUUCAGUUUUGGAACCUUGGGCAAGUGACUGAACAACAUGGUGCCUUAAUUUCUUUACCUCUGAAGAGAGACUAACGGUGACACUAUUAUAUAUAAAGGACUGUUAUAUGUAUUCAAUGAGCUAAGCAUAGUCACAUCACUUAAAAUAUUGCCUAGCAGAUAAUAAAUGAUCAGUAAAUGUAAGUUGUCCUUUUUUUUUUUUAAGAUUUAUUUAUUUAUUUGAGAGGCAAAGUUACAGAGAUAGGGAGAGACACAGCAGUCUUCCAUCCGCUGGUUCACUCCCCAGAUGGCUGCAAUGGCUGGAGCUGGGCAAAUCUGAAGCCAAGAGCCAGGAGCUUCUUCCAGGUCUGCCACACAGCCGCAGGGGCCCACUUGGGCCAUCCUCCACUGCUUUCCUAGGCCAAUAGCAGGGAGCUGUAUUGGAAGAGGAGAAACUGGGACUUCAACUGGUGCCCAUAUGGGAUGCUGAUGCUGCAGGUGGAGGCUUAACCUACGGCACCCCAGUUCUGGCCUCAGUAAAUGUAAGUUCUAAACAUUUGUUUGGGAUACAGCUUUAUAAGUGCUUAUCAUUUAAUGUUUGGGAUAAAGCUUUAUAUAUAUUCUUUAGCAAUUUUAAAUCACUUUUGUUAAACUUAUCACUAGGGACCUUACAGUUUUUUUUGUAAAUAGCAGCUUUUUACACAUUUUAAAAUUAUUUCUUCACUUGAAAGAGCGAUACACACACACACACACACAUCUUCCAUUAGCAGGUUCAUUUCUCAAAUGACCUAACGAGCCAGGUCUAAGCCAGGCCUAAACUAGGAGCCAGGACUUCUAUCCUGGCCUCCCACAUCAUUGGCAGCGUUUUAGGUACUUAGACCAUCUUCUUCUGCCUUCCCAGGUACAUUAGCACAAAGCUGGAUUGAAAGUGGAGCAGGGGCCGGUGCUGUGGCAUAGCGGGUAAAGCCACAGCAUGCAGUGCUGGCAUCGCAUAUGGGUGUCAGUUUAAGUCCCGGCUGCUCCACUUCCAAUCCAGCUCUCUGCUAUGGCCUCGGAAAGCAGUAGAAGAUGGCCCAAGUCCUUGGGCCCCUGCACUUGGCUUCGGAUCAGUGCAGCUCCAGCUGUUGCGGUCAACUGGGGAAUGAACCAGCAGAUGGAAGACCUCUCUGCCUCUCCUUCUCUCUGUGUAACUCUGACUUUCAAAUAAAUAAAUAAAUCUAAAAAAAAAAAAAAAAAAAAAAAAGAAAGAAAGAAAGAAAGAAAGGAAGGAAAAGAAAGAAAGAGGAGCAGCACUCAAACCAGCACUCUAGUAUGGGAUGCCGGCAUCGCAGAUGGCUGCUCAGCCUGCUGCACCACAAUGCUGUCUCUAUAGUUCUUAUAAUUGUUUUAGGUUUCUUUUACUUUCAGCAACUUGUUGAACUCUUGAGGUCUGAUAGUUUUGUUUUAUUUGAAAGGCAGACAGAGAGAGCUGGAGACAGAGGAAUCACCCAUCCACUGGUUUGCUCCCCAAAUUCUCAUAAUAGCUGGGGCUGGGCCACACUGAAGCCAGUAGCCAGCUCAGUCCAGGUCUCCUAUGUGGGUUACAGGAAUGCAGCCACUUGAGUCAUCACCUAUUGCUUGCCAGGGUGCUGGAAUUAGCAGGAAGCUGGAAGUGAGAAUGGAGCCGGCAUACAAGCCCAGGUACUCCCUUAACUGCUGUGCCAAAUGCCUGCCCCCAUAAUAGUUUUUUUUUUUUUUAAGGUUUAUUUUGUUUAUUUAAGAGGCAGAGUUACAGAGAGAGAGGGAGAGACAGAGAUCUUCCAUCUGCUGCUUCACUCCCGAGAUGACUGCAAUGGCCAGGGCUGGGCUAAGCUGAAAUCUGGAGCUUCUUCUGGGUCUCCCCUGUGGCUGUAGGGGCCUAAGCACUUGGGCCAUUUUCUUCUGCUUUCCCAGGCUCAUUAGCAGGUAGCUGGACAGAAAGUGGAGCAGCCAGGACUUGAACUGGUGUCCAUGUGGGAUGCUAGCAUCUCAGGUGGCAGCUUUGUCUGCUGAGCCACCCCUCUUCUCCAUAAUAGUUUUAAAUGGGGCCCGGCGCUGUGGCACGGGGGGUUAAUGCCCUGUCCUGAAGUACCAGUAUCACAUAUGGGUGCUGGUUCGAGACCCGGCUGCUCUACUUCUGAUCCAGCUCUCUGCUAUGGCCUGGGAAAGCAGUGGAAGAUGGCCCAAGUCCUUGGGCCCCUGCAUCCACGUGGGAGACUGGGAAGAAGCUCCUGGCUCCUGGCUUCAGACCAAUGCAGCUCCAGCCAUUGCAGCUAUCCGGGGAGUGAACCAUCAGACAGAAGACCUUUCUCUCUCUCUCUCUGUCUCUGCCUCUCCUCUUCUCUGUAACUUUCAAAUAAAUAAAUAAAUCUUUAAAAAAUAUAAUUUUAAAUGGAUAAAAUGUACAAAUUAAGACAGUCCCAGAUUAGUUUGGGAAAAAUCUAAUUAUAUGUCACUUUCAGAAUUCACACGUAGGACACAGGGAUUGAAAUUAAAGGGAUAGGAAAAGACGUACCAUGCAAAUAUUUACAGAAACAAAUUGGGCAUUAAUACCAGACAAAAUAGACCAAGGACAAAAUCACUGUUAGGGAUUAAGAUGCUCUCUUCAAAAGUGAUUCUCCAAAAAGAUGUAAAUAACUCUAAACUACUAAGAGAAUGUCAAUUUAUAUGUAGAAAAAUUUGGCAGAAUUACAAAGAGAAGUAGACAAGUUCAGUCAUAAAUUUUAAUGUAACUUUAAUGUAAUUGAGAGAUCAAGAACAGUAAAAUGUAGUAAGAUAUGGAAGAUUUGAACAACCUAACUGAUGUUUGAUCUAAAGAAUCAAUCAACAGAAAAUCAACAAAAUCAAAGCUCACCUAACAUUUAGAAUAACUUUGUCAAGCAUGAAUGAAAUAUUUAUGAAAAAUAACUGUAAUAAGUAUGCCACAAAUCAGAUAUCAUUAAAAACUAAAAAAUCAAUAAUAUACAGACUGUUCUGUGACAGUAAUGUAAUUUAGUUAGAGGCCAGCUUAAAAAUUUUUAGAAAUUUAAAAAUGUGAUUGUAAAUAAUUCAUGAAAUAAAAAAUUAUAAUAUAGAUCAGAAUAUAUCUAGGACUGAAUGAUAAGGAAAAUACUGUAGACUGUAAAUCAUAGGAUCCAAUUUAAAAAGUAUUCAAAAGGAAAUUCUAGAGCUUUAAAUGCCUUUAUUAGAAAAAGGGAACAAAAAUCACUAUGGGGGCUAGUGCUGGACUAACCCUCUGCCUACGGUGCCAGCAUCCCAUAUGGGCACCAGGUCUAGUCCCAGCUGCUCCACCUCCAGUCUAGCUCUCUUCUAUGUCCUGGGAAAGCAGUAGAAGAUGGCCCAGGUGCUUGGGCCCCUGAAACCUGCAUGAGAGACCUGGAAGAAGCUCCUGGUUCCUGGCUUUGGAUCGGUGCAGCUCCGGCCAUUGCAACCAUCUGGGGAGUGAACCAAUGGAAGGAAGACCUUUCUCUCUGUCUCUCCCUCUCACUUUCUAUAACUCUAUCUCUCAAAUAAAUAAAUAAAAUCUUAAAAAAAAAAAAAAGGAGUAAACCAGAGGAUGGAAGACCUCUGUUUCUGUCUUUUCCUCUGUAACUCUACCUCUCAAAUAAACAAACAAAAAAAAAUAAAGAAAGAAAGAAAUCCACUACCCAUUGAGUCUAACAUAAGAACACAGAAAUAUAGUAAACUCAGGGGAAGCAGAGAAACACAGCUAAAAUGAGUCAGGCAGCUGGCCUCGUGAUUAAGGUGCCUGUGUUCCGCAUCAGAGUAUCUGAGUUUGAUUCCCAGCUCCAACUUCUGACUCCAGUUUCCUGCCAGUGCAGAUCCUGGGAGGCAACAGUGAAGGUUAGAGCAAUUGGGUUACUGCUAGCCAUGUGGGAUAUCUGGGUUUUGUUCCUGGCUCUCGGCUGUAUCCUCAGCCCAGCCUUGCCCUAGCCAUUGCCGGCAUUUGGGGAGUAAACCACUGGAAGAGAACUCUCUCUCAAAUAAGUAGUUCUUUUUGGAAAAAUACAGUUAAAAGCAGAAAGCAAUGAAUUCAAAAUCAAAAGCUAGUAAUUCAUAUUAAAGUUGUUGUCAGUAAUGAUUUAGUAAAUUAGAAGUCUUGUUUCAAAAAAAAAAAAAAGCUAGUCAUUUGAAAAUAAAUUAAUAAAAAAGACCUGACAAGACUAAUUAAGAAUAAAAAGAAAACAUGUAUGAACAAUACUAGGAAUGGAAAAUGGGACAUGGUAUAAAGGUGGACAGAGAAGUGCCUUGUAAUGUAAUCAUCUCUUUGUGGGGCUUUGGUUCCAGGACCCCUCAAGGAGACAAAUCUGUAGAUAUUUGAGUCUCUUAUGUAAAAUGGCAUAAUAUUUGCACAAAACCUCUACUUAUCCUGUAUACUUUAUCUCUAGAUUGCUUAUAAUAACUAAUAAAUGUAAAUGCCAAGUAAAUAGUUGUUCUAUCAUAUUUAUUCUGGAGAGUUGACAAGAAACAAGUGUAUGUGUAUUUAGUACAAAUACAGUUUUCUCCUCAAUAUUUGCAAUGUGUAGUUGGUUGAAUCCAUAGAUGCAGAAACCAUAGAUAAAGAAGCCUGGCUAUAUACAUCUUGUCAAGACUGACCCAAGAAUAUAAAACCUGAGUAGACUAAUAACAUUAAAGAAUUUGAAUUAUAGGGCCAGAGCUGUGAUGUAGUGGGCUAAGCCUCUGCCUGUGGUGCCAGCAUCCCUUAUGAGUGCCAGUUCAAGUCCCAGCUGGUCCACUUCCAUUCCAGCUCUUUUGCUGUGGACUAGGAAAGUAGUAGAAGAUGGCCCAAGUGCUUGGGACCCUGAACCCGCAUGAGAGACCUGGAAUAAGCUCUUGGCUUUGAAUUGGCCCAGCUCCAGCCAUUGAGGCCAUUUGGGGGGUGAACCAGCGGGUGAAAGAUCUCUCUCUGUCUCUCUGCCUCUGCCUCUCUGUAGCUCUGCCUUUCAAAUAAAUAAUUAAUCUUAAAAAAAAAGAGAGACUAAAAAUGUAUCAUGUGGUACAUACUCUAAUAAAUUAUUUUUUUAAACAAAGAACUUGAAUUGUUAGAUAAAAGCCUACUUGUUAAAAAAAAAAAAAAAAAUCACAGGCCCAGAUGGUUUUACAAGAGACUUUAAAAAAAAAAAAAAAAAAGACCUAGAAAAGGCUCCUGGCUCCAGAUCAGCUCAGCUCCAGCCCUUUUGGCCAUUUGGGAAAUGAACCAGUGGAUGGAAGACCUCUUUCUAUCUCUCCCUCUGUCUGUAACUUUGCCUCUCAAAUAAAUAAAUAAUUAAAAAAAAAAUACAUACAUAACAAAACAAAAAAGUGGAUUAGAAAAUAAGAAGCAAAAUAGUAUAUAAUUUACGGAGGACAGGACUUUCUUGUGUCAGUGCGUCUCAAUAAAAUCAUGGAAUCAGGGCAGGUGUUUGAGGGUUAGGACACUGCUUGGGACAUCUGUAUCCUAUGUCAGGCCUGGCCACCUUUGGUCAAUGAAACAUGAGCAAAUGUGAUAACAGAGGCUUGAAAAGUACUUGUGCAUGUCAGAUUGCUGUUUCUAUAUUGGUUUUUGAAGGAUGUUUUUAUUUAUUUAUUUGAAGAGAAAGAGAGAGAGGAGAUAUACUGGUUAAGUCCCCAGUGCUACAUGUGGGAGGACCUGUAUUAAGUUCUCAGCUGCUGGCUUUGGCCUGGCCCGGUCCUAACUGUUGUAGACAUUUGAGAGUGAACCAAUGGAUUGGGAGAUCUCUGUUUCUAUGUGUCUCUCUGCCUUUCUAAAUAAAUACAUAAACAAACAAAUGAAGUAAUAAAAAUUUUUAAAGUAUCAUGAUUGAGUUAUAUAUUAUUUCAGUAUCAUUUAAUUUGUAACAUUAUUAUUUAAUAUUUUCUUUGUGCUGUUGGCCAUAUUUUAUUUGCAUUUUUCUUCCUUUCCUGUCUUAGGUAGUUUGAGUUUUCUUUACUACACAUUUCCAUCCUUGCUUUCCUCUGUCCUGCCAUAAUCUUCAAGCUUUUCUUUUAUAGGCUAUGUUUAAAUUUUUGGCCUGCAUACUUCAAUUAAAUCUAAAGUUAAAUCAUUGUCUCUACUAUCGCUCUAAAUAAAAACCCAGUUUGUCUCACAUUAUGCUGUGGUUCAGUGUUAAUAAUUACGCUUUGAGUAGAAGAUGGCCCAAUUCCUUGGGCCCCUGUACCUGUGUGGGAGACACAGAAGCUCCUGGCUCCUGGCUUUGGAUUGGCGCAGCUCCAACCGUUGUGGCCAGUUAGGGAGUGAACCAGUGGAUGGACGACCUCUCUUUCUCUCUGCUUCUCCUCUCUGUAUGUAACUCUUUCAAAUAAAUCUUUUGAAAAAAAAUAAUUCCGCUUUGUUUUUAUACCCUUGAAUUAGUUGUUGCUAUUCUUAUUGGAUGAAGUCAUUUGGAUUCAUCCACCUGCUUCCUGCUUUCUUUGCCUGUCGUCCCUUCUUUGACUUACAUCAUCCUUCUGAGUUAAAUUUCCUUCUUUUAGUUGAAGGCUAGAAAUUAAAUUUUUUGAAAUUUUUUCUGCUUAACAGUGCUUUAUCAUAGUGUUGGAUAAUUUAACUGGAUAUAAAAAUCUGGAUUUCCAGUUUUCCUUUGCUCUGUAAUGAGAUUAUGUUACUCUGUUUCAUUUUCUCUUAUCUUCCAGUGUUGCAGUUAAGAAAUCUGCUUCUCAACUCUAGAGCUAAUCUCUUUUUCCCUCUAAGCUGCUUUCUUAUCUUCCCUUGGUUGUUGCUGUUCUGUAAAUUUAUGACCAUGUGUUCUUGAUUAGAUUGGUUUUUUAUAUAACCUGCUUGCUGUUUGUCCUUGAAUAUGAGAUUUCAUAUAUCUUUUAAAAUUUAUUUAUUUGAGAGGCAGAGUUACAGACUGAAAGAGAGGGAGAGACAGAGAGAGAGGUUCUCCAUCUUUUGUUUCACUCCCCAAAUGGCCAGAAGGGCCAGAGCUGGGCUGAUUCGAAGCCAGGAUCCAGGAGCUUCCUCAAGGUCUCCCACGUGUAUUUAGGCGCCCAAGCACUUGGGUCAUCUUUGGCUGCUUUCCCAGGCCAUUAGUAGGGUGCUGUAUCAGAAGUGGAGAAGCUUGGGCUCAAACCAGUGCCCAUAUGGAAUUCCAGCACUGCAGGCAGAGGCUUAUACUGUGCCACAACAACGGCCCCCAAGAUUUCUUUUCUUUUUUUUCUUAAAGAUUUAUUUAUUUAUUUGAAAGUCAGAAUUACACAGAGAGAGAAGGAGAGGCAGAGAAAGAGAGAAAGGUCUUCUUCCGCUGGUUCACUCCCCAAUUGGCCGCAAUGGCCAGAACUGCACUGAUCUGAAGCCAGGAGCCGGAGCUUCUUCUGGGUCUCCCACGUGGGUGCUUUCCCAGGCCAUAGCAGAGAGCUGGUUCAGAAGUGGAGCAGCUGGGACUCAAACCUGACUUUAGAUCUGUGCAGCGCUGGCCCUUGUGGCCAAUUGGGGAGUGAACCAGCGAGUGGAAGACCUCUUUAUUUUUCUGCCUCUCCUUUUCACUCGGUGUAACUCUCACUUUCAAAUUAAUAAAUAUUUUUUAAAAAGAUUUAUAUAUCUUUUUGAAAGGCAGAGUGAUAGAGAGGGAGAGACAAGAUCUUCCAUCCGCAGGUUCACUCCCCAAAUGGGCCAGACCAAACUCAGGAGCCAGGAACUCCUGAGUUACCAUGUGAGUGGCAGAAGCCCAAGUACUUUGCUCUUCCCCUGCCUUCUCAGGUACAUUAACAGGAAGCCGGAUUGGAAGCAGAGCAGCUGGACUCAGAUUGGCGCUUCGAUGUGGGCUCCUGGCAUCGCAAGUUGCGGCUUAACUUGCUUAACAGCACUAGCCCCUCUGGGUAACUUCUUAUCUCUCUCGUCAGUAUGCAGAUUCUUUCUACUUUUUAACCUCUCCACUGAGUUUCAUAUUUCAUUGAACCACAUUCUAAAUGCCUUGGAAUGACUUAUUAGGGUGUUUAUUUGCUGCCUUCAAUUUAUUGUCUUUUCUUGUGCCUUCUUGUUUUCUUCUUUGGGAAAGUAAAUAGGACUAGCUAGCUGCUUUGUGGACCGUUCUCUUCCUGCCCAGAAGUUCCAUGACGCUGUAUCAUGUGGUAGUGAACUGUGGUGCAAACACGUGCUGUGAACAGGGAGGCAGGAAGCUGGGAGUCCAUCAUCGUUUUGUUCCCCACUCCCAGAGGAAGAGCAGCUCUGAGUCAUGUAGGGGAUGUUUCAGCAGCGCACCUCUUGGGGGCCCACAGCUGUGGCAGGCAUCUGUUUCUAUGGUAACUCUUCCUCUGUACUCCAGAUUGCAGAGGGUAGUUAGUUACAUGAUCAACUUGUAGAGCCUGCCCGUGUUCUGGGCAGGCUGGAUUCAUUCUCUUCUCUCUUGUAGACCACACUAUCCAGUCUAGUAGCCAUUAGCUGCAAACGGUUAUAAAAGUUUAAAUUAGUGAAAAUGCAUAACAAUUAAAAAUUCUAUUUGAGUCACACCAGCACCGUUUCCAAUGCUCUGUCGUCACAGAAGGAUAGUGACCGCUCUGGCUGGACAGCUCCUGUGAAAAACGUUUCCAGCCUUGCAGAAAGUUGCGUGGCCAGUGCUGUUCUAUACUCCCCUACAGUAUUCUUAGCGGAGACAGAGUUCAGGAUCGAGUUCUUCAUCUGCUAGUUCACUCCCCAAAUAUCUACAGUGUCCAGGCCAAAGCCAGGAGCCAGAAGCUUCAUCCUGGUCUGUCACAUGGGUACAGGGGCCCAAAUGCUUGGGUCAUCAUCUGCUGCUUUUCCCAGGCAUAUUAACAGGGAGCAGACUUGCAAGUGCAGCGCUCAUUUGGGAUGCCAGGCCUUGGCUUAACUCGCUGUGCCACAGCACUGGAUCUCUAAGAAUGACUUUUGGCAUCGUUGGUGUUUGUAGGCCUAACUAGUCUUAUCUAUAAUUUGGUAUCUGGAAAAGAGGAAAACCAAGUAAACAGAGAGGCAAAUGAACCCCCGGUAGUGAAUAAGCCUUAGGGGAAAAUGGAGAAAAAUCUCUGCAUGGGUCACUGAUUUUAUUCAGCUGUAAUUAACUGAAACCAGGCAGAGUAGACUGAGGAGACUGGACACAAUCAGCCCAAGGUCUUGUUACUUGAAAUUUUACUCAAGUUGGAAAUUCCUUAUACUGCAGUAAUCUCCUCCCUCCCUCCCUCCCUCCCUCUGUCUCUCUCUCUCUCUUUCUCUCUCGAUUCACGAUUCAUGAUUCAUUUAGUUAUUUGAAAGUCAGAGUUAAAGAGAGAGAGGGAGAGACAGAGAUCUUCUAUCCACUGGCUCACUCUCCAGAUGGGCACAACUGCAAAGGCUGGGCCAGGGUAUAGCAGGACCCAGGAACUUCAUCUGGGUCUCGCACAUAGGUGACCAGGGCUAAGGACUUGGACCAUUUUCUGCUGCUUUUUCCAGGCUGUUAACAGGGAGCUGGACUGGAAGUGGAGGAGGUGGGACUUGAAUGGGCUGCUCUUUUAGCAGGCUACGUUUUUACCCGCAACAACACAACACCAGCCCCAAAUCUCUUCUCUCCACCCCUUUAUCUUUUUUUUUUAUGUAUUUAUUUAUUUGACAGGCAGAGUGGACAGAGAGAGAGAGAGAGAGAGAGAGAGAGAGAAAGGGCUUCCUUUUGCCGUUGGUUCACUCUCCAAUGGCCGCCGCAGCCGGCGCGCUGUGGUCGGUGUACCACGCUGAUCCGAAGCCAGGAGCCAGGUGCUUCUCCUGGUCUCCCAUGCGGGUGCAGGGCCCAAGGACUUGGGCCAUCCUCCACUGCACUCCCUGGCCACAGCAGAGAGCUGGCCUGGAAGAGGGGCAACCGGGACAGAAUCCGGCACCCCGACCGGGACUAGAACCCGGUGUGCUGGCGCCGCUAGGCGGAGGAUUAGCCUAUUGAGCCGCGGCGCCAGCAUAAAUUGCCAUCUCAUUCUCUUUGAGUUGCUGUAGAAAACUUAAAGGUUCUACAUUGAAAGGAUAUAGCUACACUCCCAUCUCACACACAUAUCCCCACACUUUUUUCAAAUAUCACAGCAUUUCACAGUGGCUGGACUCCAGAUAGACCAAGAUUAAGGACAGUGUGAGUCACUCAGUAGGCUACACAGAGAGGGAAGAGCCACUGGUGCCAACCUUGUUAUUUGCCCCUGCCAGACAUUGCCAAAAUUUAGUCACUCCUUAUUGUGGAGUUCUGCAGGGACUUCAGAAUCCUUCUUAACACAAGAUUCCACGUGGCCACAGUCUGUACAAAUGCCUGGAGCUGACUCGUGAGACUAAACUUCAUUGUUGUCCUUUGCUAGGAUUUGGGGCUUGGAGUUGCCAUUCAAAGGAAGGAAAUCAUUGUUGCUGAUGUAUUCUUUGAAAAGGUUUUUAAAAACCUAUUAUGAAUAUUAUUGUCCAUAGUACAGAGUAGGUAGCUAAGUAAAUGUUCAAGAGGAUACACAUGAAGAAAGAUGGUCGUCAUGGGAGAGAAGAUAAAGUGAAUUUGUGUUGGAAAAGGGGUCAGUACUGGGUUCCUUCUGGCAAAGGUGGCUUGGAAUUGACUUUUGAAAUUUUUAAUCUGAAAGAACAAGUGGGGUUGUAAUCUGAAAGGGAGAGGUUGAGAAAGAAUUGAGAAACAGCAUUUGUAAAAGGAGAAGGAAAGAAGUUGUAGGAGAAAAAGAUGCCUAGAGCAGGUGAGGGAGUAGAAAGGGUGAACUAUAGGUGCUCUGCAGAAACAAGUGUUAACAGGCCUUUGUGGUUCUAAAUUAGUGUCUUUUUUUUUAAUGCAAAUCUGGAAGCGAGAGUCCCCCUAGCAUUUUCAGAGUGUGCACAAACAUCAGGUUGCUCACUAUUGGGAUCCCACAGUGCCCUGAGGAUUCCUCUGCUGAGGGUUUCUCCACGUCUUUGCCCUGGGCAUGAGUGGGCCUGUAUAAAGCAGCUGAGCACACCCCGCUCAUCGUUUCACGCUAAGGUUUUUUACUUUAUGCCCUCUUUGAUGUUCCAUGUUGUUCCGUGCAUAUACGUUUGCGGGUAGGUGUGUAUAUGUGUGUGUGUAUUCUGUUUUGUUUUUGUCUCUUUGUAAUUUGCAGAAACUUGCACAUAGAAGUAGAACUUGUUCAUAGCAAAUCCCUCCUCCUCAUCUCGGCUGCAGUGCCCCUUUGGGUCUCGGCUGCUCCUCUUCCGAUCCAGCUCCCUGCUGAUGGCCUGGAAAGCAGUAGAAUACAGCCCAAGUCCUUGGGCCCUUAAACUCACAUGAGAGACCUGGAAGAAGCUCCUGGCUCCUGGCUUCGGAUCGGCCCAGCUCCUGCCAUUGCUGCCAACUGGGGAGUGAACCAGCGGAUGGAGGACUUUUCUCUCUGUCUCUCCCUCUCACUGUAACUCCACCUCUCAAAUAAAUAAAUAAAGCCUUAAAAAAACCAAACAGGUGUUAAACCAGAAGUUUGCCCCCUGAGACCAUAUUUGCUCUUUGAUCAAAACUACUCUGCAAGUUGUGUUUUUUUAAAUGUUUGUUUGUUUGAAAGAGUUACAGAGAGAGGGGGAGAGACACAGAGAUCGUCCAUCUGCUGGUUUACUCCCCAGAUGGCCACAACAGCCAGAGCUGGGCCAGGCUAAAGUGAGGAGCCAGGAACUUCAUCCAGAUCUCCUGUGUAGGUACAGGGACCCAAGCACUUGAGCCGUUUCCCACAGCUUUUCCCAGGCCAUUAGCAGGGAGCUAGAUUGAAAGUAGAGCAGCCAUGAUAGAAAGCCAUGCGCGGCCGGCGCCGCGGCUCACUAGGCUAAUCCUCCGCCUAGCGGCGCCGGCACACCGGGUUCUAGUCCCGGUUGGGGCGCCGGAUUCUGUCCCGGUUGCCCCUCUUCCAGGCCAGCCCUCUGCUGUGGCCAGGGAGUGCAGUGGAGGAUGGCCCAAGUGCUUGGGCCCUGCACCCCAUGGGAGACCAGGAAAAGCACCUGGCUCCUGGCUCCUGCCAUCGGAUCAGCGAGUUGCGCCGGCCGCAGCGCGCUGGCCGCGGCGGCCAUUGGAGGGUGAACCAACGGCAAAGGAAGACCUUUCUCUCUGUCUCUCUCUCUCACUGUCCACUCUGCCUGUCAAAAAAAAAAAAAAAAAAAAAAAAAAAAAAAAAGCCAUGCGCAUAUGGGAUGCUGGCAUCACAGGUGGUAGCUCUACCCACUAUGCCAAAAUGCUGGCCCCUAAAUGUUUAUGUAUUUAUUUUUAUCUACUAGAAAUAGGGAGAGAUCUUUCAUCUGCUGGUUCACUCUCCAAAUGCCUCCAACAGCCAGAAUUGUUCUGGAACAAAGAAGCCAGGAGUCUAGAACCCCAUCUUAGUCUCCAGUGUGGAUGGCAGGGAAUCAAGCAUUUGAACUAUUAUCUUCUGCCUCCCAGGAUGAAUUAGCAUGAAGCUGGACCAGAAGCAGAAGUGCCAGGACUUGAACCUGGCACUGCAGUAAGGGAUGUGGAUAUCCCAAGCAACAGCUUAACCUACUGUAUUACAACACAACCCACUGUAAAUUGUUUUAAGAAUGCCAUAGGCAAAGAUCCUAUAGCCUCUUCUAUAAGCUUGGUUUUUAUCCAGAGCAAUCAAAUUAUAAGCUAUAAAGAGUGUAGAACUUGGCCCCAGGUGUGGAGGAUUUUUUUUUUUUUUAAGAUUUUUAUUUAUUUGAGAGGGAGAGUUACAGACAGUGAGAGGGAGAGACAGAAAGGUCUUUCAUCCUCUGGUUCACUCUCCAGAUGGCCGCAAUGGCUGGAACUGGGCCUAUUCGAAGCCAGGAGCCAGGAGCUUCUGGGUCUCCCAUAUAGGUGCAGGGGCCCAAGCACUUCAGCCAUCUUGUACUGCUUUCCCUGGCCAUAGCAGAGAACUGGAUAGGAAGUGGAGCAGCCAGGACUAGCACCAGCGCCCAUAUGUAGUAGAGGCCUAGCCCUCUCUCCUACAGUACCAGCCCCAUUAUGGAGGACUUUUGGUAAAUAAAGGACGCAGGCCAUUCCUUUCUCCAGCCCUCAGUUCAGAAGUAACCCAAAAAUGUCUAGCCUGUUCCAGAGUUUACUGCUUCUUUCCAUUUUUCUUUCUGGUGGGAUGAUGUCUUGUGCCAGUGGCUAGAAUACAGCAUAAGAAAUUUUUGUCUUGGAUCCACAGACUGAGCAGCUCUGAAAGAAAACUCCAGGCAUUGGGGCUAAGGGGGUGGGGUUACAGUCAGACUAACAGGUAGCUGUUUAUGGUCUGCAGUCAGCCAGGUGCUUUUGCCUUCUUGGGAUGCUGCAAAGACACAUGGGGAAGCAGGCAGUAUACUGUUGGGGCCUGCAGCAGCCCACUGGGCCCGGACUUCUGUCUGGGCUUGGAUCCCACAGAGGAGUCUUACGUGGAGUUCAUCCAACAUUCCCACCAUUUGCGUAGCUGUCAGGAGACAGGCCAGCAAAUACCCAGAUUUUCCUCCUUCCUGUAGUAAUUGUGGAGUAAUAAAAUGAUCAAUAACCAGGCAUCCCAUUUGAAUUUCAGGAGAGCCCUGAUCUUUAAAUAUUCCUAAUAAGAAGAAGUACCCUUUUCUAAGGUUUUGGGUUGUUUUAAGAUGUUGUAUUUCAAGUGACUGAGGCCAGCUGUGUUGGGCAAGAGUAAAGACACAGUACAGAGCCUGGAAACAGAGUUUAGAAUGAAGUUGAACCCCUAACGCAAACAGCAGAGUCAAUGUUUGUAAAGUUACUGUGAGCUCAAAGCCCUUCUGGAUGACAUGUGUCAUUUCCCCCCUGCCCUCAGAAAGUAGAGAAACAGGAGCAGAUGAGGAAAAGCACUUGGAAAAAUUCUGUAAUGAUUUGAGCCUCAGCCAGGCUUAAUACUUGAAUGUUUGAACUCUUCCCUACUGAGCUGUUGCUUUUGUUAACAGGCUGUUUUUGUUGGUUAAUGCAUCUCUGAAAGAAAUAAUAGCACAGUACUAUGUAAUGUUACUAAAGCAGACGUUUAUUUAGUACUUACAAAGUACCAGGCACAGUUGUCAGUGCCCAGCAGGUGAGGUGGCCACUGUGAUUCUCAUUCUACAGAUGAGGGAUUUGAACCCCGGCCUUUAGUGAACUCGCCUGAUUUCACACAACCAAAAUAGUAGUCUGGCUGUAAUAAUUGAUGGAGCAUAUUGUUAUUAAAUUGCAAUCUGAAUGGCCAUCGAAAAUUCAGUUUUGGAAAUCUUUCUGCUCUCUAGUCUUCUCACUAUUUACAAGCCUGUAGUUUGUUUUGUUUUGGUUUUUUUUUUUUUUUUUUUUUUUUUGACAGGCAGAGUUAGACAGUGAGAGAGACAGAGAGAAAGGUCUUCCUUCCGCUGGUUCACCCCCAAAAUGGCCGCUACGGCUGGUGCGCUGUGCUGAUUCGAAGCCAGGAGCCAGGUGCUUCUCCUGGUUUCCCAUGUGGGUGCAGGGCCCAAGGACCUGGACCAUCCUCCUCUGCCCUCCUGGGCCACAGCAGAGAGCUGGACUGGAAGAGGAGCAACCGGGACAGAACCAGCGCCCCAACCGGGACUAGAACCCCGGGGUGCUGGCGCCACAGGCAGAGGACUAGCCUAGUGAGCCGCAGCACCGGCCAGCCUGUGGUAUUCGAAUUCACUUCGGAGAGACAUCUUGUAAAUAUAAUGAAUUUAGGAAUGUUUGUGGUAAGUCACAUCUUAGUGAUGGAGAGACAGCUCAGGUAGGGAGGCAAACUUUUUGUAAAAAAAUCUAACCUCACUAAACAUCAGCAGACACACACAGGCGAGAAACCAUUUGAAUGGGUCAUUCCUUGCCACGGUCAGCCAUGGAAGUUGCCACCUGAGACUGCAUUUUUCUGCCUCUUGUCACAUCAGUCAUCUCAAGCACCUUUGAGUCCAGCCCCACCUGCAGUCCAUUGAUCCCAUUUCCUUCUUCCAGUCCCUCAUCCCUCAUGCGUGUGUGUACUUUUUCCUUAAAUAGCUUAAAUUCCAGGGUUAGUUGUGUCAACCACUGUCUCAUGUAACACUCUCAGUCCCCUUCUCCUUUGCUUUGUCACUUCGGCUUGCUGCAUCACGACUCUAGUGCUGUCCAAACCUCUGCCUGCACUCUGCAGUACACCUGGCUGGAAGAGACCUAUCUCACCCCCUCCCUUUUUUUUUUUUUUUUUUUUUUUUGGAUAAUCAAGAUCUUUAUUGAUUUAACUGUAACAGCAACCAUUGGAGAGAAUUUCAUUUUCCCCCUAAUUUCCGAACAUGUACUGGUUUAGAAGGUUAAUUAAAAACACAGACCGGACAUGGAGUCACACAGGACUGCCUCAGAGGACUGCACAGUGCCCUCUACUCUCCAUCCACGACAGAGAAGUAGAUGGGAUGGGGUGAGGGGGCCACACACCAAGGAAGAAGGGAGGGCAGGGAAGACCAAGGGAAGUGCUGGCCAUCUCCGCUGUCCAUUCACAAUGGUUGAACUGGGCCAUUGGUGGCACUAAGAUAGAGAUUGUCUUUUUUUAGAUAAAAUAUUAAAAGAUUUAUUUAAUUUAUUUGAAAGAGUUACAGAGAGAGGUAGAAACAGAGAGAGAGGUCUUCCAUCCGCUGGUUCACUCCCCAGAUGGCCACAAUGGCUGGAGCUGCACUGAUCCGAAGCCAGGAGCCAGGAGCUUCUUCCGGGUCUCCCACGUGGGUGCAGGGGCCCAAGGACCUGGGCCAUCUUCCACUGCUAUCCCAGGCAUAGCAGAGAGCUGCGGGGACUAGAACCAGCGCUUGUAUGGGAUGCCAGGGCUUUAACCCGCUGUGCCACAGCGCUGGCCCCAAAUAAAAUAUUUUAAUGAUGUUUAAAAAUGGACAUCUCAAAUGUGAGUGCCCUCUGCUGCCCCACUCCUAAUGAUCCAUGAGCUCAAACAGGCCCUCUGUCACCUAUGACUCCUGCUGUGUUUCUGUAAUUCUUUCAUUCUCCAGCCUCCUAGAGGACUAUUCCAUAUCGUCUUCUCCCUUCCAGAAUUCCCUCCUUAGCCUCAGCUGAUGACCUUAUUUCCUGUUUCAUUGAGAAAGCAGUUGAUGGCCGGCACCACCAUAUCCACCCGACUCUGGUCUCUGCUGUUUUCCCGUUUCCUGUAAGUAAGAACUCUCUGUGCUCCUCGGAAGGACAGGUGCCUCCACUUGGCAACAGAUUUCCUUCUCCCUUAUGGAGUCCAGAGCGUGCUUCCCCAGUCACCUUCCACCUCCCCAGGGGUACAUUCUAGCAACACACAGACUUCUGACUCUCUUCCAUCUUGAAAACAGCAACAGGAACAAACGGAAUCUCUUGCUUCUACUUCCCCAGCAGAUGCUGCCCCAUUUUGCUGCUUCCUUUUAUUAAAAAAAAAAAAAAGUUUAAAAAUAAAAAAAAACCAAAAAGCAAAAACCCCUAAAGAAUUCUGUCUCCUUGAUUUUUCUUCAUUUUCUCUUUCCAUUCUCCUAAACACCACUGCAGUCAUGUAUUUGCUCUCACUGCGCAAAUGAAACUGCUCUUAUCAAGGUCACUGAGGACGUCCUGUUGCUGAGUCCAGUGGCCCAUUCUCAGCUCUGGGAAAGGCCACUGCAGGUGACACAGAUGGUCAGGCCUGCCUCCUUCAACACCUUGCUUUGCUUGCUUCUGGGAUGCCACGUUCACCUAGUUUUCUUCCUCCCUUUCUCAGCUUCCUUUUCUGAUUCUUCCUCACCUGUGUAUUUCUCAUGCUGAAAGGCGUGGAGGCUUAGUCUGUACUAAUUCUCAUCCCGUCUUAACGACAAGUGUGGUGAAGUCAUUGAAGCUGGUGGUUGUAAGUACCACAUGUAUGCUGCUGACUCCAAAAUUGAUACUUAACUCGACUGCUCCCUUGACCUUUUCUCAAAUCGUGUUAUUGAGAUAAAUUCACAUACCGUACAAUUCACCCAUUUAAAUUGAGCAGUUCAGUGGGUUUUAGUGUAUUCAGAGUUGUACAGCCAUCACCACCUCAAUUUUAGGACAUUUUCAUUAUUUUAUAAAGAAACUCCAUAACUGUUGGCAGUAACUAAUUUCCGCUUGGGCAACCACUUGUCCACUCUGGGGGCCAGCCACAUGUCCACUCUGUUUGAAUGUGCCUGUUCUGGACAUUUCAUACAAAUGGAAUUAUACACAGUAUUCCUGUAUGACUCUAUGUUGGAUUUCUUUUCUUGGUCUAACAUUUUCAGGGUUGGUCUGUGUUGUAGCAUGUGGUAAUACUGCAUUCCUUUUUAUGGCCAAAUAGUAGUGUGUGUGUCAUUUUGUCUUUCCAUUCAUCAGUAUACAUUUAGGUUGUUUUCCCUUUGUGGCUGUUAUGAACAAUGCUGCUGUGAACAUUCAUGUACAGUUUUUUAUGUUUCCUGCUUGUAUACCUGAGAUUGGGAUUACAGGGUCUUUUUGAGGAAUUCCAGGCCGUUUUAAAGCAGCCUCACCGUUUUACAUUCCCACUAACGGCAUAUGAGGCUUCCAGUUUCUCCACAUCCUCUCCAACACAUAUUAUUAUCUGUCUAUUUGAUGUGCCAUUCUAGUUUUUAUGAAUUGGUUUGUUUUUGUGAUUUUAAUUUGCAUUUUCCUACUAAGGAUGUUGGGCAUCUUUUCAUGUGUUUAUUUCUGGUCUUUGGAGAAUGUCUAUCCAAGUCCUUAGCCAAUUUUUAAAAAAAUAUGUAUUUUUAAAAGAUUUAUUUAUUUAUUUGAAAGUCAGAGUUACACAGAUAGGAGAGGCAGAGAGAGGAGAGGAGAGGCAGAGAGAGAAAGAGAGGUCUUCCAUCUGCUGGUUCACUCCCCAACUGGCCGCAACGGCUGGUGCUGAGCCGAUCCGAAGCAGAAGCCAGGAGCUUCUUCUGAGUCUCCCACAUGAGCGCAGGGGCCCAAGGACUUGGGCCAUCUUCUAUUGCUUUCCCAGGCCACAGCAGAGAGCUGAAUCAGAAGUAGAGCAGCUGGUCUUGAGCCAGUGCCCAUAUGGGAUGCCAGUGCUUCAGACCAGGGCGUUAACCCACUGUGCCACAGCAACGGCCUCAAAAUUUAUAUGUUUUUAUUCAUUUGAAAGGCGGAGUGACAGAGAUGGAGAGGGGGAAAGAGAGAAUGAAUAAAUACCUUCCAUCUAUGGUUUACUCCCUAAAUGCCUACAAUUGCUGAGGCUAGGCAAGGCUGAAGCUAGGAGCCCGCAAGUCAUUCCAGGUCUCCCACAUGGGUGAUAGGUAACCAAGUACUUGAGCCAUUACCUGCUGCCUCCCAGGAUAUACAUUAGCAGAAGUUGGAAUUGGCAUGGAGCUGGGACUCAAACUCAGGCACUCUGAUGUGGGAUGGGGGGAGGGGUAUCCUAAGUGGUGUCUUUUUUUUUUUUUUUUUAAGGCUUAUUUAUUUAUUUGAAAGAGCCAGAGAGAGAGGGAGAGACAAAGAGAGAUCUUCCCCACUCUGGUUCACUCCCAAGAUGGCUACAACAGCGAGGGCUGGGCCAGGCCAAAGCCAGGAGCCAGGAGCUUCAUCUGGGUCUGCCACAUGGGUGGCAAGGGCCACCAUCCUCUGCUGAUCUUCCCAGGCCACCAGUCCCUGCUGGAUCAGAAGUGGAGCAGCCAGGUCAUGACCUGACCUGGUGCCUCAGCCUAGUACACCAUGGGGCCAGUCCCCAAUGUGGUGUCUCACCAGUUGCACAACAAUGUCCAUCUUCCUUUGUCUUUUUUUUUUUUUUUUUAAGAUUUAUUUAUUUAUUUGAAAGUCAGAUUACACAGAGAGAGGAGAGGUAGAGUGAGAGAGAGAGGUCUUCCAUCCCAUGGUUCACUCCACAAUUGGCUGCAACGGCCAGAGCUGCACCGAUCCAAAGCCAGGGACUAGGAGCUUCUUCUGGGUCUCCCAUGCCGGUGCAGGGGCCCAAGGACUUAUUAGCCCAUCUUCCACUGCUUUCUCAGACCAUAGCAGAGAGCUGGAUCGGAAGUGGAGCAGCCGGGUCUCGAACCGGUGCCCAUAUGGGAUGCCAGUGCUUCAUGCCAGGACCUUAACCUGCUACACCACAGCACCCAUCCUUCUUUGUCUUUUUUUAAAGUGAGUGAUUUGUCUUUUUGUUGUAAGAUGUAAGAUAUUUUUAUAUAUUUUAAAUAUAUUAAUACCUUAUAAAAUAUAUUAGCUGCAAAAAUUUCUCCCAUUAUGUGUGUUUCCUUUUCAUGUUCUUUACAGUAUCCUUUAAGGCACAAAAGUGUUUAAUUUCAGUGAAAUCCAAUGUAUGUGUUUUUUGUUGCUUAUGAAUUGAUGUCUUAUUUAAGAAAUUGUUCCUUAAUCCAAGGUCACAAAGAUUUCUGCCUGUGUUUCCCUCUAAGAUUUUUAUAUUUUUAGUUCUUUUUUAAAGAAAAAAAGAUUUCUUAAUUUAUUUGAAAGCAGAGUUAGAGAGAAAGAGAGGAAGAGACUGAGAUAUUUCAUCCACUGGUUCACUCCCCAAAUGGCUACAAUGGUCAGGGCUGGGCUGGGCCGAAGCCAGGAGCCAGAAGCUUCUCUGGAUCUCCCAUGAUGGGGCAGGGACCCAAGCACUUGGGCCAUCUGCUGCUGCUUUUCCAAGCACGUUAGCAAGGAGCUUUAUCAGAAGUGAAGCAGCUGGAUCUUGAAUUAGGGUCCAUACGGGAUGCCAGCAUUGCAGGUAGAGGCUUAAUCUGCUACUCCACAAGGCUAGCUCCAAACGUUUAAGUGCUUACCUUAGGUCUUUGAUCUGUUUUGAGUUCAUGUUGUAUAUGUUGUAAGGUAGGAGUCAGCUACAAUUUUUUUGCCCAUGGAUAUUCAGUUGUUUCAGUACUGUUUGUUGAAAACACUGUUCUUGAGGCCAGUACUGUGGCUCACUUGGUUAAUUCUCCGCCUGCGGUGCCGGCAUCCCAGAUAAGCACUGGUUCUAGUCCCUGCUGCUUCUCUUCCAAUCCAGCCCUUUGCUGUGGCUUGGGAAAGCAGUAAAAGAUGGCCCAAUUCCUCGGGCCCCGGCACCCUCAUGGGAGACCCAAAAGAAGCUCCUGGCUCCUGGCUAGGAAUCAGCCCAGCUCCAGCCAUUGCAGCCAUUUGGGACUGAAUCAACAGAUGGAAAGGCACACCCUUCUCUCUGUCUCUCCCUCUCACUGUCUGUAACUUUACCUCUCAAGUAAGUAAAAUCUUAAAAAGAAAACACUGUUCUUUCUCCAUUGAAUGGUCUCGACAUUCAUGUCAAGGCUCAUUUGACCUUGGUUGUAAACCUUAGGUGAGUUUAUUUCUGUUCUCUCAGUUUCUGUCCUGGGAGUUGUAUGUUUUGAUGCCAGUACUACCCUGUGUUGUUAAUUGCAGUUGAGCAGUACAUUUCACAAUCAGGAAGUAUGAGUCUUUAUCUUCACUCUUCUUUUUGAAGCUCUUUUGGCUAUUUGUGGUACUUAGCAAUUUUUAGAAUUUAGCAAUAUUUUAGAAUUGGCUUAUUCAUCUCUGUGAAAAAGACAGUUGGAAUUUUGAUAGUCAUUACAUUGACUCUAAAUCAAUGUGAGGGGUGUUGCCAUCUUAACACAGACAGGAUAUCAUCAACAUGAGAUGCCUUGACAUUUAUUUAGAUUUUCUAUCAUUUCCUUCAACCAUGUCUUAAUAGUUUUCAGUGUUAAUAAGUCUUGCACUUCCUUGGAAGAUUUACUUAUCUCUCCUUAUUGUUCUAGCAUCAGAUUUUGAAAAGAUUGCCUUUUUUCUCAUUGAAUUGCCAUGGAACUUUUAUAAAAACUUUAUUCACCAUAUGUGAGGAUACUAGAAAAAGUUCAUGGGAAAAGCAUUAUAAGAGAACCAGGAGGGCCUCUGCCUGCAGCACUGGCAUCACAUGUGGGUGCCGGUUCCUCUCCCAGGCUGCUCCUCUUCUGAUCCAGCUUCCUUCCUUCCAGUGGCCCGGGAGUGCAGUGGGGAUUGGCCUCAGUGUUUGGGCUCCUGCACCCACGUGGGAGGCCUUGGGGAGGCCCCUGGCUCCUGGCUUCUGAACAGUCCUGCUCCAGCGAUUGCAGCCAUCUGGGAAGUGGGCCAGCAGAUGGAAGACCACCCUCUCCCUCCACUCUGUCUGUGGCUCUGCCUCUCAAGCAGAUAAGUCUUAAAAAAAAAAAAAAAAAAAAAAAGAAAAGGAAAGAAAAGAGAGAAAGAAAGAAAAGAAGAGAAGACAAGACAAGACAAGGCUAGGGGCCGAUGCCUACAGUUGCAGCAUCUCAUGUGGACUCUGGUUCAAGUCCUGGGUGUUCCGCUUCCUUUCUAGCUCUCUGCUAUGGUUUGGGAAAGCACUGAAAGAUGGCUCAAGUCCUUGGGCCCUUGUACCCAUGUGAGGGACCCACAAGAGGCUCCUGGCUCCUGGCUUCAGGCUGGCCCAGUUCCAGCCAUUGGGGCCAUUUGGGGAAGGAACCAUCAGAUGGAAGACUUUUCUUUUCUCUCUGUGCUUCUGCCUUUCAAAUAAAUAAAUAAAUCUUUUUUUAAAAAAGAAAAACUAUGCAUGGAUUUCAAAAUUUUUUUUGUAACAAAUAUCUUUAAAAAAUUUUUUUUUUCAUUUGAGAAGGAGAGAGAGAAAGGGGGGAGGGAGAGAGGGAGAGAAUAAGAUAUGUCAAGCUUUCAUCCACUAGUUUUACUCCCCAUAUGCCCACAACAGCCAGGGCUGGGCUAGGGCCAAAGCUAGGGGCUGGAAACACAAUCUAGGUCUUGAGGCAUCACUGCCACCUCCCAGAGUCUGUGUUAGCACCGAGCUGGAGCUGGGAAUCAAACCUAGGUACUCUGAUAUGGGACGUAGGCAUCUUAACCACUAGGCUAAACGCUGAGAGGCGGGUCCUCGAUCCACCAGCUCACUCCCCAGAUGGCUGCAACGAUCAGAGCUGUGCCAGUCCGAAGCCAGGAGCUUCCACCGGUUCUCCCAUGCAGGUGCAGGGGUCCAAGGACCUGGGCCAACCUCCACCGCCUUCCCAGGCCAUAGCAGAGAGCUGGACCUGAAAUGGAGCAGCUGGGACUCAAGCCAGUGCCCAUAUGGGAUACUAGCACUGGAGGUGGCGGCUUUACCCAGUACGCCACAGCGCUGGCCCCCUCAACUUACCUUAAAAACAAUUGCUUUACAUUUACUUGAAAAACAGAGAAUGAGAGAGAAAAACUCCCCCAAUCACUUACUUCCCAAAUGCUAGCAAUCACCAGGGCAAAGCUAGGAGCAGGGACUUAACCAGGUUUCCCAUGUGGGUGACAGGAACCCAGUCACCAGAGUCAUGACUGCAACCUCACAGAGUCUGCAUUAGCGGAAAGCUGUAGUGAGGAGCCAGAGUAGGGUGUCUAACCCAGCCACUCUGAUAGUGGAUUUUAGUAUCUUCACCUGCAUCUUAACUGCUAGACCAAAUGCCCGCCCUAAACUUAACUUUUAGUUUUGUUUUUUCGAAACUUUUUGAAGUACAAUUAUGUAGAUAGUCUACUUCUGGAUUCUGUUGUCUUGCUCUGUGUGUUUGGUGUUAUGCCAGUACCCAUGUGCUUUUCAUUACUGUGGUGUUAUAAUAAGUCUUGAAAUCAAAUAUUAUAUCAGUCUUUCCUCUUGUUCUUUUUAAUAAUUAUUUCGUACAUUCUCAAGUCUUUGAAUUUCCAUGUAAAUUUGAGAGUCAGCCUGUCAAUUUCUACCAAAAAAAAAAAAAAAGCCUGCAGGAAUUUGAUUGGAAUUGAAUUAAACUUAGGGAUAAACUUGGAGAUUUAAAAGUCUUUUUUUUUUUUUAAGAUUUUGUUUAUUUAUAUGAGAGGUAGAGUUACAGACAGAGAGAGGGAGAGACAGAGAGAAGGAUCUUCCAUCCACUGGUUCACUCUCCAAAUGGCCGCAGUGGAGGAGCUGGGUCAGUCUGAAGCAACAAGCUAGGAGUUUCCUCCAGGUCUCCCACAUGGGUGCUGGGAUCCAAGCACUUGGGCCAUCUUCUGCUGCUUUCCAGGCUGUAGCGGAGAGCAGGAUUGGAAAAGGAGAACUUGGAACAUGAACUGGCACCCAUAUGGGAUGCCAGCACCGCAGGCAGAGGCUUAGCCACAGCACUGGCCCCUAGAGAGCGUUAAACAUCUUAACAUUGCAAUUUCCAAUCCAUUAACUUGUCAUUUUUCAUUCAUGUUUCUUCUCCCAUCAGUUUUAGAGCAACGUCUUGCACACAUUUCAUGUUUGCUGAGUUUAUAAAAUUUUUUUAAUUGUGAUAGGGUACUUUUAAUAUAAAAUUUAUCUUCUUAACCAUUUUUAAGUGACUUAUGUUCAGUAGUUUAAGUAUUUCAACUUGUGGUGCAACAGAUCUCCAGAUUUUUUUCAUCUUGUAAAACUGAAACUCUGUACCCAUUAAACAAGUUUCCAUUUUCUCCUCCCCUCAGCCCUUGGCAACCACCAUUAUACUUCCUGCCUCUUUGAGUUUGACUGCUCUUAAUACUCUCUGUAAGUGAAAUUAUGCAGUAUUUGUCUUUUUGUGACUGGCUUGUUUUCAUUUAGCAUAAUAUCCUCAAUAUUCAUCCAUGUUGUAACAAAUAUGAGAAUUUACUUUUUUAAAAAAGACUUAUUUAUAUGUUUGAAAAAUAUAGAGACAGAUGGAAAGUCAGAGAGACACCUUCCAUCCACUGGUUCGCUUCCAAGAUGGCCACAGUUGCUAGGGCUGGGCCAGAUGGAAGCUAAGAGUCUGAAAAAAAUCCUGGUCUCCCAUGUGGGUGGCAGGACACUAAGUACUUGGGCUGUUUCUGCUGCUUUCCCAGGUGCAUUAGCAGGAAGCUGAAUCAGAAAUGGAGCAGCUUUCCAGCUGUUGUAGCCAACUGGGGAGAGAGCCAUUGGAUGGAAGACCUCUCUGUCUCUGUCUCUCUCUGUGUAACUCUGACUUUCAAAUAAAUAAAUAAAUCUUUUGAAAAAAAAAAAAAAGAAGAA